CCGUCUGACCUGGGCUACACACGUGCUACAAUGGUUGGUACAACGAGUUGCGAGUCGGUGACGGCGAGCUAAUCUCUUAAAGCCAAUCUCAGUUCGGAUUGUAGGCUGCAACUCGCCUACAUGAAGUCGGAAUCGCUAGUAAUCGCGGAUCAGCACGCCGCGGUGAAUACGUUCCCGGGCCUU
rnacentral:rRNA from 1 species